rnacentral:rRNA from 1 species
AAGCCUGAUCCAGCAAUGCCGCGUGAGUGAAGAAGGCCUUCGGGUUGUAAAGCUCUUUUACCCGGGAAGAUAAUGACCGUACCGGGAGAAUAAGCCCCGGCUAACUCCGUGCCAGCAGCCGCGGUAAUACGGAGGGGGCUAGCGUUGUUCGGAAUCACUGGGCGUAAAGCGUGCGUAGGCGGCCAUUCAAGUCAGAGGUGAAAGCCCAGGGCUCAACCCUGGAACUGCCUUUGAAACUAGAUGGCUGGAACACGGGAGAGGUGAGUGGAAUUCCGAGUGUAGAGGUGAAAUUCGUAGAUAUUCGGAAGAACACCAGUGGCGAAGGCGGCUCACUGGACCGUUGUUGACGCUGAGGCACGAAAGCGUGGGGAGCAAACAGGAUUAGAUACCCUGGUAGUCCACGCCGUAAACGAUGAUAACUAGCUGUUGGGGCUCUUGGAGCUCCAGUGGCGCAGCUAACGCAUUAAG